rnacentral:rRNA from 1 species
CCUACGUGAGGCAGCAGUGGGGAAUAUUGGGCAAUGGGCGCAAGCCUGACCCAGCAACGCCGCGUGAAGGAAGAAGGCUUUCGGGUUGUAAACUUCUUUUCUGAGGGACGAAGAAAGUGACGGUACCUCAGGAAUAAGCCACGGCUAACUACGUGCCAGCAGCCGCGGUACUACGUAGGGGGCAAGCGUUAUCGGGAUUUAUUGGGUGUAAAGGGCGUGUAGGCGGGAAAGCAAGUCAGAUGUGAAAACUCAGGGCUCAACCCUGAGCCUGCAUUUGAAACUGUUUUUCUUGAGUGCUGGGGAGGCAAUAGGAUUCCGUGUGUAGCGGUGAAAUGCGUAGAUAUACGGAGGAAUACCAGUGGCGAAGGCGGAUUGCUGGACAGUAACUGACGCUGAGGCGCGAAAGCGUGGGGAGCAAACAGGAUUAGAUACCCCUGUAGUC